CUGCCUCAUAGGCCUGCUAUGCAGAGUCAGGAGGUAGUGCUUACUCUGGCCCCUGAGGGCCUGCUACACAGCACACAGCCACUCGCAUUCCUCCCUCCUCCCCCCAGGCAGGAGGGGGGGCCCGGUGUUCCCUCCUCCCCAGAGGAGUCAGGCCUGACCCUGGAGGCGGCAGCAGCAGCAACACAGGCAGGGUGCUGCACGGCAGAAAAGCUGGCUGGAGCAGGCUAUUUCUGAGGUCCUGGAAAUGCAGAUGUUGUCUGUUCAGUCUCCAGAGCAGGAGCCUCCUGGUCUCUGUGUUCCAGGAAGAUUCACUCUAGAGAUCCUCUUUGUUGGCUGGAUAACGUAAGUGGCCUUCUGACAACAGCCAGCAAGAAGCUGGGGCCCUCAGUCCUACGCUGCAAGGAAAUAAAUUCUGCCAACAAUCUCAGUGGACUUGGAAGUAGCUUCUUCUUCAGUCCAGCCUCCAGAUGAGAACAUAGCCUGGAUGACAUCAUGACUGCAGUCUUGUGAAAUCUUAAGCAGAGGACCCAGCAAAGCUGAGCCCAGACUACUCCUGACCCACAGAAACUGAGAUAGUAAAUGUGUAUU